rnacentral:rRNA from 1 species
AUUGAACGCUGGCGGCAUGCCUUACACAUGCAAGUCGAACGGCAGCACGGGUGCUUGCCCCUGGUGGCGAGUGGCGAACGGGUGAGUAAUACAUCGGAACACGUCCUGUAGUGGGGGAUAGCCCGGCGAAAGCCGGAUUAAUACCGCACACGAUCUACGGAUGAAAGCGGGGGCCCUUCGGGCCUCGCGCUAUAGGGUUGGCCGAUGGCUGAUUAGCUAGUUGGUGGGGUAAAGGCCUACCAAGGCGACGAUCAGUAGCUGGUCUGAGAGGACGACCAGCCACACUGGGACUGAGACACGGCCCAGACUCCUACGGGAGGCAGCAGUGGGGAAUUUUGGACAAUGGGCGAAAGCCUGAUCCAGCAAUGCCGCGUGUGUGAAGAAGGCCUUCGGGUUGUAAAGCACUUUUGCCCGGAAAGAAAUCCUUGGCCCUAAUACGGUCGGGGGAUGACGGUACCGGAAGAAUAAGCACCGGCUAACUACGUG